GACCUGGUAGCACAAUGUCAGUGUGUCUGCAUACAGUGACAUCUCUCCGUGCUAGAGUCUGUGCAGAAGAUCCCUGCUCGACUCGGGGUCAGGUCA